rnacentral:lncRNA from 1 species
GUAAGUGGGGCACAAAGCCAUGCAAAUCCAUCUGAAGUCAGUUCAUUUCAGAGAUACCACCAGCUUCUGAUGGUGUUACACCCUGGAAAUGGCAGUCCAGCUCUAGCUUCUGGAAGGCAACUGGCAAGAGCAUAAGAAAACAGCCGAAGAUUAGAUUUUGAUAAUGAGAGAGCCCAACGAUCCUGGACCCCUGGCCGGGAGGACAAUAGGGGAAACAGGUGAAACACUGUGUGAGCUGGACCACCCAGGCUCUCCAACACCAGGACACCAGAGCAUCCUUCCUCCUUCUUCUCUUCUGCUGCGACUUCCUGGAGGCAUAGCAGAGUUACAACUGCUGGCCAUGUGGAACUUCUCUUCUCCUAUAAGUUUGCUCUGAGAUGGAGAGAUUGUGCCUGUGGUUCAUUAGGAAGAGCUCUUGGGAUCAAUGCCUGUAAUAAGGAAGGGAAGGAAUCAGGAUUGGCCAGAAGGAGAAGUUGAGCUGUGUUGAAGCCUCAAUGGAGACCUCAGCCAAUUCUGAGUCAUGUCCUGAAGCUAGAAUAUGUCCUCUAAAUUAUCCCAAGCUGAGAUGAGGGAGCUGGGCAUUUAGCCCUGUAUUAGGCCAUUCUUGCACUGCUAUAAAGAAAUAACUAUGGCCUGGCGCCGUGGCUCACGUCCUUAAUCCUAGCACUUUGGGAGGCCGAGGCGAGCAGAUCACGAGGUCAGAGUUUGACACCAGCCUGGCCAAUAUGGUGAAACCCCAAUUCUACUAAAAAUACGAAAAUUAGCCAGGCGUGGUGGCACAUGUCUGUAAUCUCAGCUACUCGGGAGGCUGAGGCAGGAGAAUUGCUUGAACCCAGGAAGUGGAGGUUGCAGUGAGCUGAGAUUGUGCCUCUGCACUCCAGCCUAGGGAAUAAAGCGAAAGUCUGUCAAAAAAAAAAAAAAAAAGGAAAGAAGGAAAUAACUGAGACUGGUAAUUUAUAAAGAAGAGGUUUAAUUGGCUCACAGUUCCUCAUGCUAUACAAAAAGCAUGAUGCUGGCAUCUGCUCAGCUUCUUGGGAGGCCUCAGGAAAUGUACAAUCAUGGCAGAAGGUGACGCGGGAGCAGGCAGUUCACAGGGCCGGUGCAGGAGGAGAGAGAGAGGCAGGAGAUGCUACACGCCUUUAAACAACCAGAUCUCCUGAUAACUCACUCUCGUCACAACACCACCAAGGGAGAUGGUGUUAAACCAUGAGAAACCACCUCCACGAUCCAAUCACCUCCCACCAGGCCUCACCUCCAACACUGGGGAUUUAUAAUUCCACGUGAGAUUUGGGUAGAGGACACAGAUCCAAAAUAUAUCAUACCCCCACGUUGAUCAGUCAUUAGAUGUGGGCCACCCUAGUUGAGGCAGCUCCCCUCGCUCAGGUGGUUCCUGAAGCGAGCUGACAGCUGACGGCUGCAUGCCAGAGGUACUGUCAGCAGCUGAAGGAGAGUCUUUUGUGCUAAAAGCCAUCUUAAGCAGCACAGCACAGCGUCCACCACAUAUUGUGGACAGGUGAUAUGGUUUAGAUCUGUAUCCCCACCACAAUUUCAUGCUGAAUUGUAGUCCCCAAUGUUGGAGGUAAGCCCUGGUGGGAGGUGUUCGGGUCGUGGGAGCAGAUCCCUCAUGAAUGGCUUGGGCCAUCCUCUUGGUGAUGAGGGAACACUCACUCUGAGUGUUCACAAGAUCUGGUGGUUUAAACGUGUAUGGCACCUCUCCCCACCCCCACUCUUUCUUGUUCCUGCUUUUGCCAUGGGACUCGCAUGAUCCCUUUGCCUUCUGCCAGGACUAAAAGCUCCCUGGAGCCUCCUCAGAAGCUGAGCGAUGUUGGCGCCAUGCUUCUGGUACAGCCUGCAGAACCAUGAGCCAAUUCAACCUCCUUUCUUUAUAAAUUACCCAGUCUCAGGUAUUUCUUUAUGGCAAUACAAGAACACCAGGGGUUUGCAGGUAACCCGGGCCCCUGUCCUUGAGGACACAGCAGCAAGCCAUUGGUAAAGCAAAACUGUCCAUAAGGAAGGCUGCUCCCAUGCAGUGUUCAUUUGGGCAGCCCAGAAAUCGAGAAAUCCUCGGUCCAUUUCAAGUUUGGGGGAAAACUUAUUUUUAUCAUAUUUGAGAUGAAUAAUAAAAGCAAAUCCAGAAGUCGGAUGGCAUCUUUUAUUGGACUUAGACCUGGUGUUGUUGAAUGGGAUUAGAUCUGUGGGAUGAAGAAUGAAUCCUGAUUCACAGCCACUGCCCUAUACUGGACUUAUGGAGUCCACCCCUGACACACUGUGGCCUCGGGUGCUGAGACUUCCACAGGGUUUUGGAACUGCCCAGAUACAUGUGUGCCAAUUGGAGCCUGGGGUCUGUAUGUCUGUCUUCCAGAACUAAAGAUCUCUCAGAUCCAAAACUGGCUACAUAUUCUGGAGCAUGGAACUUUAAUUUCCUCUUUUAUUUGUUCAUUUGUUCAUCUAUGCAUUUGACAGGUAUUUACUGAAACUAGAUUGCAACUCAACCAGAUGUAGUGGGAGAGGCAGAUAAUUGAAAAAGGAAGUACAAUGGUGUGGGAAAAGUAUUAGGAAAGAGGAAGUGCAGGGUUGUAUGGGAGCUCGAGGAGGAACGGAGAAAGUCUCCCAGGAAAUAAGGGC